GUACCUUCUGUUUUUAGCACGGUAAGCAUAAUCCAUUUUUAAUACCUAUGAUGAUUUCAAAUGUGUUCCAUUGGUUUGAAUCCACUUUUUUUCCCAUAAGUAUGACCUGUUAAAAGAAGAUGACCCUCCAACAUGCUUCAUCUUCAAGUUAUCAGGAGCAUUGUUAAGGAACAUAUUGCUUGAAGUUAUUCUUGAAGAAGGAGAUGCUGCCUACAUGAAAUUGGCAUUGGUUUGCACCAGAUUCAGAAACCUAGUUGGGGAAAAAAGCUUCAAACAGCAGGCACACUUUUUGUGGCUACAAAGUGUUGCUUGUUGGAAAGAUAAAACUGCAGAGUACAAACAAGACUUCUGGAGAAUGUACUCCAUCUCCACUUGUUUGGAGUGCUAUGAUGAUUACAAAAGCUGCACACCUGGUUAUGCUGGGAAGGGCAGAAGAGGUGAGUUACGUGGGAUCUACUCAGAAGCCUUCCAUCCAGGAUUUUGCAGUCUCUCGUGUAUGCAAGCCAAAUGUGCUAAUGAGUAGUUUAAAUAUACAUAGAGAAUGCAUUGCACCAUCCAUCAGAAUUGAGAAAGGAGUUGGACCAUGGUACCAUCAAUCUUUUCCUCUUCAGUCUUGGAAUUAUUUUUUUGUGU